rnacentral:rRNA from 1 species
UGGGGACUAUUGGACAAUGGGGGGAACCCUGAUCCAGCCAUGCCGCGUGUGUGAAGAAGGCCUUAUGGUUGUAAAGCACUUUAAGCGAGGAGGAGGGUACUGGUAUUAAUACUACCAGCUACUGGACGUUACUCGCAGAAUAAGCACCGGCUAACUCUGUGCCAGCAGCCUCGGUAAUACAGAGGGUGCGAGCGUUAAUCGGAUUUACUGGGCGUAAAGCGUGCGUAGGCGGCUAAUUGAGUCGGAUGUGAAAUCCCCGAGCUUAACUUGGGAAUUGCAUUCGAUACUGGUUAGCUAGAGUGUGGGAGAGGAUGGGAGAAUUCCAGGUGUAGCGGUGAAAUGCGUAGAGAUCUGGAGGAAUACCGAUGGCGAAGGCAGCCAUCUGGCAUAACACUGACGCUGAGGUACGAAAGCAUGGGGAGCAAACAGG